GUGUUAUUUCCUCAGGUCCCAGGAAUGUAACGCAAAGCCUGGCCCAUUGUGAGUGUGCAACAAGAGCGUUGCGAGUUCAGUUGACCUCAAAGUGAGUAGGAGAGCUGAGAGUCGAGCCAAAGUCUUGAUCCACAGACAGAAUUCCUGGACAAAGCGUUGGAUCUGCCUGUUAUUCAAAAUCUGUCAUUCCUGUGGACAUGGGACCUGUGCCGUAUUUAGGAGAACCUGUAGAGAGCUUCACAAUCCGUGAGACAGAAAUAGAUUACAAGCAGGACAAAAGAAAAAGAAAGUCCCUGGACCACUAGCCCUCACUGAGGUGGCUGAUCUUUACCCCAGUGUGACACAGAUGUUGUCACUGGCCGUGUGAGGACCAGCGCCCUACAUAUAACCUGAAGCAAAGCACACUGAGCGGUAACGAGAAGAGAAAAGCGAUUGCAAGUGUGAGUUGGUGGAACUGCGCAAUCUUCAUUUAGCUAAAAAGGGUAUUGCGUGCGCCCAACCUCUGGAUAAAAAGAGACAGGCUUAUCGCCAGCCAGGAAAACAGCAGCCCGGCCUGAUAGCUCUGACUCGAGGCCUUGUUUAAAAGCUAUGAGUCAGUGCAGGGCAGCCGGCAGCCCAGGCCUUCUGAGGGCCUUCCAAGCCGGCCAUUCAGCCUCUCACGUCCAGGUUGCGUGCCUCAUGCCCAUUAUUUCUGGGAAGUCCAUCAGUGUCAGCCUUAUUUUCUUGCAAACAUUCAUCUUCAUUUCCAAGUAAGUGAAUGAGGAUUUCAGUGGAAGCACUGUCCACGGAGUAGAGCGAACAGUUCAAUCAAAACGACAGCUGAAGAAACUGCUGGAAGAAUGUGAAUUCUAGCAUAGGGGCCUUAGUGUGUUACUGUGGACCGGAUGCCUGUGUGCAGUCGCUGCACUUCUGUAGCUGUGCGAUUUAUUUUCACGGUGAGAAUGAAAAUACCCACAAGUGUAAACAGGGACCUUCUAACCUACAUGCGUUAUAAUUAAGUGGAUAGUUUUAUGUUCAUUCUUUCCCUUCUUAUGACUUCUUAUGACUGAUUUUCUUUAUUCCAUCUUAUCUCAUCAUAUAACUAAAUCCCAAGACUUAUUUUGUAUCACUUCUUUACUCAACAAUCUAUAGUUUAAUAUAAGGUUAAUCAAGAGGCAGCUUGCCAGGGACCAAGUGUAAGUAACAUUGUAUUUCUGUCAACAACAACACAAAUGUGAGAAUAAAUGGCAAUUGCCAGUAUGCAGACCCAAUGGGGAUCAUGGCCCAGUGGGGAAAACCAUCUCCCUGCUGGCAACCCUGAUCCACUGUGGGGCCAGUCCCUGACUACCAGGCUCAGAAAGAGGCUAAGUUGGAAAUCCAGAUUUUUAAGUGAAUUCAAUUGACUUUUAAAAGCUGGCAACUAAUUCAAAAAAUGGUAAACACCGUGAGGGCCAGUAGCCAGUUUGCAAGCUGUUUCUGGCCCAUGGUCUGCCAAUGGGCAACCUCUAAUUUGAACUCUAAAGCUCUAAUGGCGUCCUGUAUUUCACUUUAACUUAAACAGAAAUGAUCCUCAUUUUCUGUUACCUCCUGCCAAUAGAAAAUUUUGCAAUAAACAGUUUGAAUAAAUAGGUCAAGUAAUUAUAAGUAAUUUGAUUCUAACUAAUUAUUGUCAUUAUUUUAUAGGUGAGAAAAGAUGCUUAGAAAAAUGACAUGCUUAGACCCCAAAGCUCAAAGCUGAUAGAACUUGUACUUUCUAAAUACAAAUCUUGUGUUCUUUCCAACCACUGUGUUAUGCACCAAAUUGGCUCCUCUCCCCCAUCCAAUUCAUAUGUUGAAGUGUUAAGGCUCCAGUGUGAGGAUAUUUGGAGACAGGUCCCUUAAAUAAGGAUAAUUAAGGUUAUGUGAGGUCUCACACAGGUGGCCCUAAUCUGAUAGGACUGACGGCCUUGUAAGAAGAGGGAGAGACAUUGGGGCAUGUGCACAUGGACAGAAGGACACGGCAAGUAGGCGGAUGUCUGCAAGCCCCAGAGAAAGGCCUCAGGAGAAACCCGCUCUGGAAGCACCUUGAUCUUGGAUUGCAGCCUCCAGAACUUUGAGAAAGUAAAGUUAACAGCAAAAAAAGAAGAGAGAGGUAACAUCCAUAGCCUCCUACUCGAAUGGCCAGCCACUGAUUCCUUCCUAGUUUCUGCAGUCUGAGGACAUUCCGACUGUCUAUCACGAUAAGCUCAAAAUAUUUGCAUGACAAGAAACUGAUUCCAUUAGCAACUGGAUGUGUGAUUUCAUGCACCGUGUGAUGGGUAUGUACCUAUGUUUGUUGAAUGAAUGGAUGCUGCUAAAUACUUGAGUGUUUACAAAUGUCAGUAUAGUUAAAAUACUUCCCUUUUCUUUUGAAUGACAAAUAUUGAGUUGGUGUAGAUAUAAAUAUUGAAAUCUUUAAAAAGUCAUGAGAAAAAUGCCAUAUUUCUCUUAAAAAAUACUGUGUUGACACAAAUCUUCAUUUUUUCCUACUUAAAAUGUGAAAGAGGUUUUAUCUAGACUUCGUAUUGUAUUAAAUUUUACCUAAAGAUUAUAUUUUUCCAUUAUUAUAUGUAUUAUUAUAUUAUAAAUUAUUUAGAAAAUUAAAUAACUAACAUGCUCCAAGGUAUGAAACACAGAAAACAACAUAAUGAAUGUUAUUCAGGAUGACUAUUCAAGAAAAUGCUGUUAUUUUAAUUAGAAGUUAAAUUUCAGUAAUGGGUCUCUUCCAGACUUUUCAGAAUGAGGAGACUGAGUAAAACAGUUGAAAAAUUAUCCGAUUUGCAAAAAAUCUUAUGGCAUGGACCUGGGUGAAAUGAUCAUAUUACUAUAAAACAUGAGGGAAAAAAUGAGGAUUAAUACAUUAAAAUAUGUCCUUCAUACACUACUUGUAAAUAAAAAUGGCCUAUUUUCAAAUAUGGAAGUGAUCAGUUAUUUAGAAGAGUAAAAAUCUGUUUGUUACCUUAACAUUAAAAUUCCUGUAAAAUUAUUUAAUAAUGAAUAAGGGACAUUCGUUUCCAAGUUAUCUAAAUAUAGGCUAGGUUUGCUGUAUGUACAUGACUGACAUGAAGAACUGGAAAGGGGGGAAAAAGAAGAAAAUAUUUUAAUUAUAACAGGUGUUUAACGUGCACCUUGGGAGACCUUCGUGAUGGACAUGCACAAUGAAUCCUUCAGCAGUGAGGUUCUGCUCGGUUUUCCUUACCUGUUCACUGGUUUAUACCCACACAGAAAGGAUGCACCUGGUUGAAAGAAUAAAGGUCAACAGACUUUUCCUGCAAAAAGAGAGCUAGUAGCUCUUUAAGCGCUGUGGUGUGGGGAUAUUUGUUGCAACUACCCAAAUCUGCUGCUGUGGUACCAAAGGAGCUGUGGGCGAUACAUAAAUGUGUGAGUGAAGGGUGUUUACAAUAUCAGGUGGCAAGCCAGAUUUGGCCCACAGGCCGUAAUUUCUCAAUCCUUCUUCAAGAAUCUUUACUCUCUGUCAUCAGGAGGUGGAGACCAAAUCUUUCCACUCAGAUCGGGAUGGAUCUCUGUCUCAUUUAUAAAAGAAAAUCAGUUUUCUGAUCUGGCCAUCUGCAAGGCUAGAUCUGAAAAGGCAAUGAAACUUCUACUUUGCUUUCUGGAAGACUCGUGCUGGAAUCCUGAGCUGCCUUGUAGUGGUACUAAAGCCACCAUGGUGUGAGGAAGCUCAACCUGCAAGGGGAGGCCCUGGGAUUACGGGAAGAGGUGCACGAGCUCUAACCAUAUUGCCUUUCUAAUGAAAUGAAAGACCCUGAGUGAGAGCCACCCAGAUGAGCCCUUACCAGAUUCCUGACCCGCAGUUCAUAGGAGCUAAUACAAGGAUUGUGGCUGUUCUAGGCCACUAAUUUUGGAGUGGUUUGUGAUGCAGCAAUAGUGACUGGGAUGAAAUUCAAC